rnacentral:rRNA from 1 species
AGAGCGAACGCUGGCGGCAGGCUUAACACAUGCAAGUCGAGCGGGCGUAGCAAUACGUCAGCGGCAGACGGGUGAGUAACGCGUGGGAACGUACCUUUGGUUCGGAACAACACAGGGAAACUUGUGCUAAUACCGGAUAAGCCCUUACGGGGAAAGAUUUAUCGCCAAAAGAUCGGCCCGCGCCUGAUUAGCUAGUUGGUGAGGUAACGGCUCACCAAGGCGACGAUCAGUAGCUGGUCUGAGAGGAUGAUCAGCCACAUUGGGACUGAGACACGGCCCAAACUCCUACGGGAGGCAGCAGUGGGGAAUAUUGGACAAUGGGCGCAAGCCUGAUCCAGCCAUGCCGCGUGAGUGAUGAAGGCCCUAGGGUUGUAAAGCUCUUUUGUGCGGGAAGAUAAUGACGGUACCGCAAGAAUAAGCCCCGGCUAACUUCGUGCCAGCAGCCGC